UGGCUCAGGACGAACGCUGGCGGCGUGCCUAACACAUGCAAGUCGAGCGAGGAGAUUCCUUCGGGAUGAUCCUAGCGGCGGACGGGUGAGUAACACGUGGGCAACCUGCCUCAUAGAGAGGAAUAGCCUUCCGAAAGGGAGAUUAAUACCUCAUAACAUUGCAGUUUCGCAUGGAACAGCAAUUAAAGGAGCAAUCCGCUAUGAGAUGGGCCCGCGGCGCAUUAGCUAGUUGGUGAGGUAACGGCUCACCAAGGCGACGAUGCGUAGCCGACCUGAGAGGGUGAUCGGCCACAUUGGGACUGAGACACGGCCCAGACUCCUACGGGAGGCAGCAGUGGGGAAUAUUGCACAAUGGGGGAAACCCUGAUGCAAGCAACGCCGCGUGAGUGAUGACGGCCUUCGGGUUGUAAAGCUCUGUCUUCAGGGACGAUAAUGACGGUACCUGAGGAGGAAGCCACGGCUAACUACGUGCCAGCAGCGGC
rnacentral:rRNA from 1 species